rnacentral:rRNA from 1 species
GGAUUGCAGGCUGAAAUUCGCCUGCAUGAAGCCGGAAUUGCUAGUAAUGGCAGGUCAGCAUACUGCCGUGAAUACGUUCCCGGGCCUUGUACACACCGCCCGUCACACCAUGAGAGUUGGGGAUACCCGAAGCCUGUGAGCCAACUUUUAGAGGCAGCAGUCGAAGGUAGAAUCAAUGAUUGGGGUGAAGUCGUAACAAGGUAAC